rnacentral:rRNA from 1 species
CUCCGGUUGAUCUUGCCGGACCCGACUGCUAUCGGAUUGGGAUUUAGCCAUGUUAGUUGUGCGUUCCUUGGCUACAGGGGACGCAGCAUACGGCUCAGUAACACGUAGUCAACCUGCCCUGGAGACGUGGACAAACCCGGGAAACUGGGGCCUAUCCGCGAUAGAUGACCUCAUCUGGAAGGAGUGGUCGUCCAAAGGGCGGCACGGGUAUGCUCCGUGCCUUUCGCUCCAGGAUGGGACUGCGGCCGAUCAGGCUGUUGGCGGGGUAAUGGCCCACCAAACCUGUAACCGGUACGGGCUUUGAGAGAAGGAGCCCGGAGAUGGACACUGAGACAAGGGUCCAGGCCCUACGGGGCGCAUCAGGCGCGAAAACUUCGCAAUGCGCGAAAGCGUGACGAGGCUAGUCCGAGUGCCUUCUGCUAAAGAGGGCUUUUCUCGGCUGUAAAUAGGCCGGGAAAUAAGGGGAGGGCAAGUCUGGUGUCAGCCGCCGCGGUAAUACCAGCUCCUCGAGUGGUCGGGACGAUUAUUGGGCCUAAAGCACCCGUAGCCGGUUCCGUAAGUCUUCUGUUAAAUCCAGCUGCUCAACGGCUGGCCUGCAGGAGAUACUGCGAGACUAGGAGGCGGGAGAGGCGGACGGUACUCCGCGUGUAGGGGUAAAAUCCUUUGAUCCGCGGAAGACCACCAGUGGCGAAGGCGGUCUGCCAGAACGCGCUCGACGGUGAGGGGUGAAAGCUGGGGGAGCGAACCGGAUUAGAUACCCGGGUAGUCCCAGCCGUAAACGAUGCGAGCUAGAUGAUUCGAUCGCAGUUCGCGAUCGAAGUGUCGCAGGGAAGCCGUUAAGCUCGCCGCCUGGGGAGUACGGUCGCAAGGCUGAAUCGUAUGCAGACAAUUCUGUAUGC